rnacentral:lncRNA from 1 species
AUGGAGGAGAAGGACUGGGAGGAGGUGAAGAAGGAGGACCUGGAGGAGAAAGACUGGGUGGAGGAGAAGGAGAAUGAGAAGAAAGAGGACAUGGGGAAAGAGAUGAAGGAGGGCCUGGAGGAGAAAGACUGGGAGGAGGUGAAGAAAGAGAAGAAGGAGGACCUGCAGGAGAAAGACUGGGAGGAGGGGAGAGAAAGAGAAGAAGGAGGAAAUGGAGGAGCAAGAUUGGGAGGAGGGGGAGAAAGAGAAGGAGGACAUGGAGGAGAAAGACUGGGAGGAGGAGGACCUGGAGGAGAAAGACUGGGAGGAGGUGAAGAAAGAGAAGAAGGAGGACCUGCAGGAGAAAGACUGGGAGGAGGUGGAGAAAGAGAAGAAGGAGGAAAUGGAGGAGAAAGAUUGGGAGGAGGGGGAGAAAGAGAAGGAGGACAUGGAGGAGAAAGACUGGGAGGAGGAGGACCUGGAGGAGAAAGACUAGGAGGAGGCGAAGAAAGACUGGGAGGACGUGGAGGAGAAAGACUAGGAGGAGGUGAAGAUGAGAGGAAGGAGGACCUGGAGGAGAAAGACUGGGAGGAGGUGGAGAAAGAGAAGAAGGAGGAAAUGGAGGAAAAAGAUUGGGGGGAGGUGGAGAAAGACAAGGAGGACAUGGAGGAAAAGAUUGGGAGGAGGUGGAGAAAGACAAGGAGGACAUGGAGGAAAAUAUUGGGAGGAUGUGGACAAAGAGAAGGAGGACCUGGAGGAGAAAGACUGGGUGGAGGAGAAGGAGAUGGAGAAGAAAGAGGACAUGGGGAAAGAGAUGAAGGAGGGCCUGGGGGAGAAAGAUUGGGAGGGGGUGGAGAAAGAGAAGAAGGAGGACCUGGAGGAGAAAGACUGGGAGGACGUGAAGAAAGAGAAGAAGGAGGACCUGCAGGAGAAAGACUGGGAGGACGUGAAGAAAGAGAAGAAGGAGGACCUGCAGGAGAAAGACUGGGAGGAAGUGGAGAAAGAGAAGAAGGAGAAAAUGGAGGAGAAAGAUUGGGAGGAGGGGGAGAAAGAGAAGGAGGACAUGGAGGAGAAAGACUGGGAGGAGGAGGACCUGGAGGAGAAAGACUAGGAGGAGGCAAAGAAAGACUGGGAGGAGGUGGAGGAGAAAGACUAGGAGGAGGUGAAGAAAGAGAGGAAGAAGGACCUGGAGGAGAAAGACUGGGAGGAGGUGGAGAAAGAGAAGAAGGAGGAAAUGGAGGAGAAAGAUUGGGGGGAGGUGGAGAAAGACAAGGAGGACAUGGAUGA